CUUGCUCAUCAACACUCAGCAAUUUCUAAGGUGGCCUUGCAUGACUUUUUGUUGUGCCCCUCCUCUUUGCACCUUGUACAGGUAACUGUCCUUUUAUCCACAGAUUCUGAUUCUUUCAGUUCCCUCUUUUCUUGGGCCGCUGUCCUAGUGGGCACAGGGGGGAGCACAGACUCGGUUAAACCUGGACUUUUAUCAUCAUCUUCCACAGGCUUCACUCCCAGUACCAAGUUUAUGGACUUGGAAUAUGUUGAUCGGUAGCUAUCAGCUGUAAAAUAUUUGGAAUAAUAAUCAUAUGAAUUCCUACCUGUUGAAAUGAAGACAGCAACAGC
rnacentral:lncRNA from 1 species